GAUAAGCAGCCUACAAUCUUCACUUCUCCUCUUCUCGCUGAUUUGUUUUCCCCAGAUUUUUUUAAAAUUCACAGAUCAUCAUGUCAGCAGACCAGUAACUUUUCUCUGGGAGGCCACAGGUUUCUGUUUGUGACUCAGAAGUUGACCAAAGAGACCCAGGACCUUUAGAGCAGCAGCACACACCCGGACAACCCUACAACAAAAACCUGAGCUCCACAUCUACUGUGACUUGCUUCUGUCCAUUCCCUCCUCUGUGAUGGACCCGUUUGGCCCCUCUGCACAACCCAGAGGCAUCAACUUUGACCUGCCGACCUGCCGGGACACUCAGUGCAGCAGCCACGGCAACUGCGUGCCUCCUCCGGGAGGUGGUACCAAUCUAGUUUGCUACUGUGAUCUGGGCUACAAGGGGGAGUUCUGUGACGACACGGUCAACGGGUCGUUAAGUUUACCGCUGACCAUAAGUGUGGUGGUGGUCAUCAUCGGCAUCAUCAUCCUUGCAUUCAUUGUUGCUAAGAUACGACAGAGGCAAAAGAAGGCUCAGAGGAGACGUUUAGCAGCAAAGCAUGGCUACAAUGUUUCUGUUUAAUGCAGAUAAAUCUAUAUCUAAGGUCAGCCACGAUCUUGCAGCACUGGGGCCACUGUGCUGGGGCUUAAGUUUGAAUCUUGCACAAGAGAAGAAGAUUUGCUUUUCUAUCUUGACAGUACGCAUGUGACUAUACUGUGUUACUUUUGCUUAAACAUUUUAAAGACUCUGAUCCUUAAAUGACAAACUGAAGCACCUAUGCUGAUGUAUCCAUCCAUCCAGUUGUUUGCAGCUCCUGUUUCUGCUGUUGAAUCUUUGCACAGUGCCACAGGAGAGAAAAAAAAACAAAUAUUUUUCUUCAUAUAGCAUCCAGACAUGAAAAAUAUAAAAGUGAUGUCCUCCAACAAAUCCUUCAAUAAGGGAAGUCAAUUGCACAGUACCAUCCCAUGUCACUUUUGGUGGUUUAUUUAAACAAGUUGUAGAUGAUUGAUUUUAAUGUUUACCGACAGCUGUGUGAGACUGGUAUUUUACGGUGAUAGAGAGUUAGAAGUUAGGGCUUUGUACUUUUACCUGGAAAACAUAGUGGAAACUUUUACAAAACAAUGACAUAUUCCAUUUCUGAAUUUUGCUCAUGCAUCAUCAUCCUGCAGACAUUUGUUGCACUAAGACACUUGCUGCACUAAUGAUGGGUUUGUUUGCUAAAUCUACUGUCAUUCCUAAUUUUCUUGUAAUUAAAACUAUUUCCACUGUAAAAUAAUGCACAUGUUCAACUGUGAGUGGCAAAUGAAGCAGAUUGUAUCCUUUGAAUACAGCAAAAAUAAGGAUUACUACACUUACAAGCAAGACUUUUUAAAUAGAUUUAGUCCUGUAUUUUCUCUUUUAUCGUAGCUUUAUUCAGAAAAUGUGCACUUUGAUCAGAAUGCUUUAGAUCUGUUGUUAAAUUUAAAAAAGCAUUUCUUGUCCUUCAAAAUUAUUUGAAUCCCUUCCUAACUAAAAGGCACCUUUAAACCUUGAAAUCAGUACACAUUAUCCGUCAUGGAAAGCUUCAAGUGUGUGUGUGUGCUUGGUGCAGCUUCGAGGUAUGACCACCACCAGUAGAUGUGCACUUUCAGUCGUGGUGGUCUCUGAAUCUCGGCUUGCAGAAAUGUCGCUGCUCAAAUGUACGUAAAAUCAGAGCUACACAAAGUUCUUCCUAACCGGAGUCAAUAAGAAGUCAAGGUUUUUUUUUUUUUUUUUUUUUUUUCUUUGAUGAUAUUGCCAGUGUUAAAUGCUUUUUUUUUUGCUGCAGUGAAUUUCUUUUGUACACUACUGACUGAAAUUUUUAAUAUCCCUUUUACUUUUCAACUGUUGGUGACCACAAACAGUUGUUAUACAGAAUAUAUUUUAGGACCUUGUCUUAUUGACAUACAUCCACACUGUGACUUCAGUAAACUGAAGACGGUUGGUCCAGAAGUGAGACGCUGAGGUAACAAAAGUCCAAAAUACUCAAUGGAUGAGUUUUAGUAAUGUGUUAUUUACAGUGAUCUCAGUGAAUUUGUAUCACACUGUUUUUCACUUAUCUUCUUUACAAAAACAUAAAUUGUAUUUUCUCUUUUUUUCCAUAUUUAUCUCUCUUUUUUUUCUAUUCCAUUUCCACAUGCUUUUCAAUCACAUUGGCAGAAGGCAAUAAUGCUUUUUUAUACUGGAGAAGAUGUA